rfam:Oryza glumipatula chromosome 1, whole genome shotgun sequence.
AAAAAAAACAAACCCUGGUUUCCGUGCCCAACGUUUGACCGUCCGUCUUAUUUAAAAAAAUUAUGAAAAAAAAUUAAAAAGACAAGUCAUGCAUAAAAUAUUAAUCAUGUUUUAUCACCCAACAACAAUGAAAAUACGAAUUAUAAAAAAAUUUUCAUAUAAGACAGACAGUCAAAGUUGGACACGGAAACCCAGGGUUUGCCUUUUU